CUGCGAAUCUUCUCGCUGUUCUGGUUCUGUGAUAACCAGGGCAGGCUAGACAUUCGCUACAGGAAGGCCAUGCAUGUGUCCCCAGACCUAGGUCUGUACCUAGGCCUGGUUUUCUAGAUGCUGGUGACAAGA
rnacentral:snoRNA from 1 species